UGAGGAAUAUUGGUCAAUGGGCGCAAGCCUGAACCAGCCAUGCCGCGUGCAGGAAGACGGUCCUAUGGUGUGUAAACUGCUUUUGUACGGGAAGAAACACUCCUACGUGUAGGAGCUUGACGGUACCGUAAGAAUAAGGAUCAGCUAACUCCGUGCCAGCAGCCGCGGUAAUACGGAGGAUCCAAGCGUUAUCCGGAAUCAUUGGGUUUAAAGGGUCCGUAGGCGGUUUAGUAAGUCAGUGGUGAAAGCCCAUCGCUCAACGAUGGAACGGCCAUUGAUACUGCUAGACUUGAAUUAUUAGGAAGUAACUAGAAUAUGUAGUGUAGCGGUGAAAUGCUUAGAUAUUACAUGGAAUACCAAUUGCGAAGGCAGGUUACUACUAACGGAUUGACGCUGAUGGACGAAAGCGUGGGGAGCGAACA
rnacentral:rRNA from 1 species